rnacentral:rRNA from 1 species
AUGAACGCUGGCGGCGUGCCUAAUACAUGCAAGUCGAGCGAACGGACGAGAAGCUUGCUUCUCUGAUGUUCGCGGCGGACGGGUGAGUAACACGUGGAUAACCUACCUAUAAGACUGGGAUAACUUCGGGAAACCGGAGCUAAUACCGGAUAAUAUUUUGAACCGCAUGGUUCAAAAGUGAAAGACGGUCUUGCUGUCACUUAUAGAUGGAUCCGCGCUGCAUUAGCUAGUUGGUAAGGUAACGGCUUACCAAGGCAACGAUGCAUAGCCGACCUGAGAGGGUGGUGGGCCACUGUGGAGGUGAGACGCGGUCCAGGCUCCUAGGGGAGGCAGAAGUAGGGAAUCUUCGGCGAUGGGCGAAAGCCUGACGGAGGAGCGGCGCGUGAGUGAUGAAGGUCUUCGGGUCGUAAGACUGUGUUAUGAGGGAAGAACAUAUGUGUAAGUAACUGUGCACAUCGUGACGGUACCUGAUCAGAAAGCCACGGCUAACUACGUG